UCCGGGUUGGACCCGGCGGUCCCGCCAGACAUGGUAACUGGCAGCGAGGGUUGCGCUCGUUGCGGGACUUAACCCAACACCUCACGGCACGAGCUGACGACAGCCAUGCAGCAUCUGUGCGUGCUCCCUUGCGGGUCCUCAUGGUUUCCCACUCGUACCACACGCAUGUCAAGCCCAGGUAAGGUGGGGAUGACGUGUCGUUACCUUA
rnacentral:misc_RNA from 1 species